CCUACGGGUGGCUGCAGUCGAGAAUCAUUCACAAUGGGGGAAACCCUGAUGGUGCGACGCCGCGUGGGGGAAUGAAGGUCUUCGGAUUGUAAACCCCUGUCAUGUGGGAGCAAAUUAAAAAGAUAGUACCACAAGAGGAAGAGACGGCUAACUCUGUGCCAGCAGCCGCGGUAAUACAGAGGUCUCAAGCGGUGUUCGGAAUCACUGGGCGUAAAGCGUGCGUAGGCUGUUUCGUAAGUCGUGUGUGAAAGGCGCGGGCUCAACCCGCGGACGGCACAUGAUACUGCGAGACUAGAGUAAGGGAGGGGGAACCGGAAUUCUCGGUGUAGCAGUGAAAUGCGUAGAUAUCGAGAGGAACACUCGUGGCGAAGGCGGGUUCCUGGACAUUAACUGACGCUGAGGCACGAAGGCCAGGGGAGCGAAAGGGAUUAGAUACCCUGGUAGUC
rnacentral:rRNA from 1 species